AUGCAAACAAUUCUGCAUGUUUCAAAUUCUGCAGUACAGGAAGUAAUUGAUGAGUUAUUUGACAUUGGAGACUUUGCCUAUAAAAAUAUUAAAACAAUUAUAGAGAAAGUUUUGGAGGAAAAUAACUGUGCAGCUGAUGCCUCUGUUGUAACAUCAUUGUCUGAUGAAAUACAAUCGUUGAACCCACUCAAAUUUCUUUCAAGAGCAGGGCCUUUGGGCACAGAACGUAAAAGGCAGUCAUUUUACAGAAAGAUUUUUACAGUGAUUGAACCGGUUGAAUAUGUGCUAAAUCCACAAGAAAAAAAUCAUUCAUUUGUUUAUGUUCCUAUUUUAGAUUUGUUAAGUAAGUUGUUGGAAAGAAGUGAGAUUCUAGAGACAUUACAGAGAUCCAAUGGACAGGAAGGUCAUUACUGCUCAUUUCAAGAUGGUGAAUACUUUAAAGAAAACAAACUUUUUGCUGAAGAAUUAGGCAUAGCUCUUGGCUUAUACAUUGAUGAUUUUGAAAUCUGUAAUCCAUUGGGAACUUCAAGAAAGAAACAUAAAUUGUGUGGUAUAUAUUGGGUGAUAGCUAACUUACCCAUAAGACUUAGAUCAACAUUAUCAUCAAUUUAUCUAGCUGCAUUGUGCAAAACUGUACAUAUAAAACAAUAUGGUUACAGCAAAGUUUUGGAGCCUCUGAUUAGAGACCUUCAGCAUUUAGAGACGACUGGUGUAUUUGUGAAAAGACUUGGGUCUUGUGUCAAAGGUACUGUUUUGUAUGUGUCUGCCGAUAACUUAGGUGCACACUCCCUUGCUGGAUACCAAGAGUCUUUCAACGUGGAGAAAUUUUGCAGAUUUUGUUUGGCUAACCUUAAAGAUAUUCAGCAUCAUGAUGUCAGAAGUGGGGCAUUUACUUUGAGAACACCAGAACUGUUUGAUGAAGCCAUUAAUGUGCUUAACACAACUAAUGCCUCGUGUGUUCAUGGUUUGAAGAGAAACUGUCCUUUAAGCAGACUUGCCCACUUUCAUCCUGCAAAAGGUUUUCCACCUGAUUUUCUGCACGAUUUAUUGGAGGGAAUUGUACCUGUGGAACUAUGCAUAUGUCUUUCAGAUCUUAUUGCUAAAAAGUAUUUCAAAUUGAAUGAUCUUAAUGAUAGAAUAGCAUCAUUUCCUUUUCAGUUUUCUGACAAAACUAACAGGCCUCAGACAAUACCAACAAACUUUUCAAAAAAAAGAACAAUUGGUGGCAACGGACACGAGAACUGGGCACUUCUGAGAUUUCUUCCACUGUUGAUUGGCCAUCAUAUUCCAGAGAGUGAAAAGACUUGGUCUGUGAUCCUUGAACUGAAAGACAUUGUGGAGGUGUUAUCAAGCCCCUCAUUCACAACAGAAACCCUGUGCUACCUACAAGCCAAAAUUUCUGACCACAGACAGUUGCUCUUAGAAUUAUUUCCUGUUACUAAAUUACGCCCUAAACAUCAUUAUCUUGAACAUUAUCCUGUUCUGAUUCAGAAAUUUGGACCAUUAAUUGAGUUCUGGACAAUACGAUUUGAGGCAAAACAUUCUUUUUUUAAAAGAAUGGUUCACAAUACUGGCAAUUUCAAAAAUAUUCUGCACACGUUGGCCACAAGACAUCAACUGAUGUUGUCAUAUUACUUGGAGAUGCCAACUAUUUUCAAGCCAAGCAUUGAGACUGGACGAGUAUCAGUUGUGUCUGUGGGCAUCCUAGAUGCUGCAAUCAGAGAGGCUGUAUGGAAUAAGUUUGAAGGUCUGGACUCUGUUUCACUCACCUCCAUUGCUUACUUGAAUGGGACAAAAUAUUCUAAAGGCAUGGUACUCUCAGUUGGACAUACGUGUGGACUGCCAGAUUUUGGGAGAGUAUUGGAGAUCUGUGUAGUGGAUGGUUGCAUAUCAUUCAUUACUGAACUAUUCACAGCGACCUUCCAAGAGCAUCUCAGGUGUUACCAGCUCGCCAGAAGAGAUCCUGCAACAAUUGUGGUCAUUGAUCCGGACCGUCUGAAUGACUACAUUCCCCUUGCUGCAUACCCUGUUGAGGAAAAGCUGCUCGUCACUCCAAGGACAUUCAUGUUACAUUAA
rnacentral:lncRNA from 1 species